CAAGCCAUGGGCCAUCUUCAUUGGUUCACAAGGGCGGUGCCUUCACCCCUUCAGUCCAUAUAUAACGCGGUGAGAAAGAGGUGUCGAUUGAUGAUGGUGGAGCGGUUAACGGAGGAGCACCGCCGCUCCUUCCGUCCAUCUUGUCUGAUCGACGCCUAUCCCGUCUUCGAUCUCCUAAGCGCCUUUUUAGUGAAUACCCGUCGUUGCCGACGGCCGUUUGAGUCCGAUUCUAGCAGCAACGGCUAUCCCGAUGGAGGCCAAUUGUUGCUGGCGGCCAUUUGAGUCUGUUUCUGGCGGUGACGGCCUUCAGAUUUCUCCAUGUUCUUAGUUUUGCAUUUUGGUACUGGUGAUGAUAACUUUUGCCUCCAGAAGAAAAUGUAUGCAGUUCUAAAGAGUCUUAAAACUGAUUUGAAUGGUGAAUAAAUCAUCUUUCUGUUUGUGUUAUAAAAAAGAGGUACAACGAGUUUCUUGCCCAAGUGAGAUCAGUGCUCAAACACUACCCAACUCUUCAAUUAUCUCAACCAAGAGAGAUAGUUUCACAACCAUGUCGUCGCACACGCAUGUUCUUCAGCAACGCCCCCAGUGACAGGAAAAGCUGCUGAUGUUAUGCUACUGGAGAGGUUGCAAAGAAAUGAGCUACUACGGGACCACUAUGUAAAGACCAAACUUUUCACUACCGAGCUCAUGGUAUCAGUCAAACCGUUUACCAGGUACCAUUUCAUGCAUUUCAACCAUUUGCCAUAAUGUGUAUGGAGUUACAACCCAUGAUAUUACUAGUGUCAGGCCUCCUAAUCCAAGAUCUCACUCAGCUAAUGCAACCAACAGGUGUACGGAAUCCACCUGAUGAUCAACCACUGUAGAUGAAACACUAGAAUGCAAAGAUCUGUGAGAGAAAUCAAGAAUACACAGAGUAUUCUUGAUGAGGAAGAAGAAUGACGUCACACACAGUAGCCGCCAGAAAAAACACACACAAUAAUUAGGGUUAGAAAGGUGCACAGAAUUUCACACAGAAUCGCCGUCUUGUCUAUUCCACAUAAAGGUAUAUAUACAAGACAAACCACGGACUCCAAGACGUACUAGAAGCCCGGACAAAAACACACUACCUAAAACCCCAACUUUUGCCUAAACACAAACCUCUGACCAAAGGCUAGACAAAAACUUGGACAAAUUGUCCAAGGAUAAACCUUGGACUAAGUUUCAAGAAAUGUACAAUAAAGACCCUAACAAUUGGAAGGUAUGCACUUAUCACCCAAAGUGCAUUAACAAACUCCCCCUUGAUCAGUGCAUGGUCUUCAUGUGGUCUUGAAUUCUUCAUCCUUGCUUCGAGUACUCGCUCCUGCCCAUACCUUGUUCUUCACACAGAAUUGAACUACCUUGAUGAACUGAUCAGCUAGCUCACGAUCUUCUUUAAGGUAUUUCAGAGGCAGGCGUUGAAGCUUCUUCAGAUGUGCUUCCCUUAGGUUGACAAGCCAAAUCGGAUCCAGAAUUCUUGCAAUCUCAACCGUCACUUUCUUCUCGGUAAUUACCGCUGCCCCAGUCUUGCCAUCGAGAUACCAAUACCCUAAGCUGUCAAAUUUAUCGAGAUCAAAUUUGCGCAUAGGGAUUUUACGAAGGCAUCUCGCUGGAGGAUAGACCAUCUUCCAUUCUUCCUUGCCAGUAAACUUAUUGAAGUACUUAACUCCCCGACCAACUGCUAGCUUGAAAGUCUUCCAUUUACUUGCUCGACUCUCAGCAACGAGAUGAGGAAUUAAUCCUCUGAUGCUAGCAACAUUCGUAUCGCUGUUGAGAUUCAGCUGAGCAAUGUGAUGGAGAUCACGAGCUGGAAGAGUCUGAAGGAACUUGGCCCAUGGCCUGAAAUACUGUACCCCAUCGGUCCUUUUGAUCAUUACCAAGCUGUGUUGUUCAUCAAAAUCCCAACUUCGAAUCUGACCCGAAUACUCACCUUUUGUUUUUAUAUACCUCUUCCAUUGAGUUUCGUCAGGAAGAGGUUUAAACCAUUUGCGAGCUGCCAAAUUAACUUCCUCGGGAACUCGAAUAGGAUUAUAGAUUUCUUCAGGCAUUUCACUUCCAAACACAAAGCUUCUAAUAUCAUCACUGUUAACUGGUAGGGACUCGUACUCAAUCCUUUUCCCUUGCGCAGUCUCAAUGAAUUCGAACUUACCAGCUAGUUCGUCAUCAGUUCGCUAGUCUUCAACCAGUUCCUCAACCACUUCACCAACUCCUAAAACCAAAUCAACAGCAAGAUCCAAUUCAGAAUCAGAUAAGGCACCUGUAUCAGCAUCCACAGGACCUUUAUCUCCCCCUGCGGCUGCACCCGAGGACUCCCCUCAUCUUGAGCCGAGGUUGUAGCUUCAGGAGCACGUGCGCUCCUUGACUGCUCCCCCUGCUUCGCUGCGUUGGGAUCCUUGUCCUUGUCCUUGUCGAGAUCAUCUCUGAUUUUCUUUAGCUCAUCUAUCUUACAUUGAGCCUGAAUCUGAAAAUCCGAAUUCUCCCCCUAAGCAGCAAGGAGUGACACGAGAUCCAUCACAAUACCGAGAAGCUGAUCCGUUGUCCUAUCCAAAGUCUUCUGUCGGGCUGAAGUCGAGGCAUCUUGCGUUAUGGACUUUCCCAACUGAAUACUUUGGUCUUUGGUUAGACGAAAGAGCUGCAUCAUCUGCUGAUCUCGAACCGCAUCCUUUUUCUUCAAGUAAACAAUUUCUUUCUGCUGCUUCGCGAUCUGAUUCUUAUGUUAUACCAUGACCUUAGCAGCAUCCUGAAAUUUGCCACGAACAAACUCUUGAAAAUUCUGCUCUUGACCAGAACUUGACAAUCUCGAGGCAGAAGCUGUCGAAGGUCUAGGAGUAGCAGGUCUAGAACCAGACGGUUGUGCACCGGAUGGCCUAGGACCUGAAGACGGCAAAGCUGGAGGUCUCUAAGAUCCUUUCUUCGAUCGCACUGGCGGACUUGGACCGAAAGCAACCUUCGGAUGGACUUUCCGUGUCUUUGGCGCUCGCAUAUCGGUGAAAGCACUAGGCCGCGGUGGCAAGGAAGAACUUCCUGAUAAGGCAAACAAAUUGCCCGUACCCAUUGGAGAAGAUAACGACCCAAAAAGCGGUACUGUAGGAAUCUGAGAAGACAUCAUCAGCGUUAACGGUUGAACAGAAGUAGUCAUGCUGGUAGCUUCCACAAAGGAAGUGAAUGGAAGUGAAGAAGAUAGUGACGGAAGAGCGAUAGAUAACUCCAAAUUUAGGAGACCUCUGGAAUCUGAUGGAGCAGCGCUUGAUGUAACCAUAACUGAAGCAACUAUCAGACUCGAACACUGAAAAUCCGAAACAGUAACCCGUCGUCGCUUAUACGUCUUGAGAGGAGCUGACACACGGACAAUAUCCGUAUCAGGACGACGACUGUCUUCAUCCUCAUCAUCAGAAGAAGAACUAAAAGCGAUUGAAUCCAAAUCGUUCGCUCUAUCAUUCCAACUCGCUAAGCGUAUACUCCAGUCGGAAGAGGGACCGAAAGAAGCAACCUUUGCUCGAAAUAACUCAAGUUUUUCCCUUUCAGAAGGUGUGAUACGAUUUUGAAGGUCCUUCAGAACUAACAUGAGGUAUUGCUUUUCAGUUAGCAUAUCAUUAACAGACUCAUCCACAAAAACUUCUUCGAUAGGACGCUUCCCUUUAUCAACUGCACGGGAAGACGGACCCACUUCUAGAGCCGCAUCAAGCUCUAGGAUCACCUCAUCAGUUUCUACAGCAACUCUUGUUGCCGAAGACGUAGAAACUGGAGCAUGAACAAAAACAUUUUCCUGAAUAGAAGCAUCAACAAUUGGUUCAUCAAUAACUGGUUCUUCAAUGGGUUCAGGUUUCGGAGUAUUAACCGGUGGUUGUUGAAGAUCAACCUGAGGUUGAACAACCACGGGUUCGUGAACAUUAUCCUCAACUGCCUGCAUUCCUCCACUAAAGAUUUGAUCAACACCAUUCUGAAUGUUUAACCAAAUUGGAUCAUUUUCCGAAUUGUAGUUCUCUUGAACAAUUGCACCAAGCAAAGGAGUCGUAACAGGAUGAACAUCAGUCUUCUUGGACGCAUUAACCUUGGCACAAUCAGUAAAAAUACGAGUAUGCAUGGGCGCUUGAGCGUGCGCAGGUAGAAAUACAUCGAAUGGAAGAUUUGGCAACAAGUGUCGAAUAAUAAGCGAAAGAAAACGAGGAUACAGAAUCAUCAAUCGCUUAUCAUUUGCUUUUAGACCAAUUUGAUGUUUGUAAGCUUGGAAAAUCAUUAGUGAGAAAUUGUAUGGCUGGUUGUAAGUUAACCCAAUCAUUGCAAAAAGAAGAUCAUGAGCCAUGCCAUCCAUUCCCGAUUUUCGUGGAGCUAAGCACUGCAUCAUUACAUGAAAGAAAUAUCUCCACUGCCCAAGAAUCAAUCCUUUGGCGAUCUCCUUCCUGGUAAAACAACCCACGUAACCGAAAGAUCGAGCCCCACGUUCACGAAUUUGCUUUACAUAACACGUGUUUCCAUAAUCUAAGUCACCAAACCGCAAAGCCGCACGAAUAACGGCUUCUGUGAUAACAAUAGGGCUUCCAUGAAUAGUAGCUUCGAUAGAGUCAGCAACAAUCUGUGCCGUACGCCAAAAAUCUUCAAUAUACCCUUGUACUUGGUGAAUAUUUUCUGAAAUCGCGAAAAAAAUUCUUGAAUUUCGAAGAAAACGUAUAAUAUCAGAAUAUUCGGCUCCGCCACGAACGUUUUCGUUUAUCAAUGCAAUCUGAUUGUGAUGAUGAUGAAAUUUUCGAACAGGACUGUAAGACCCAGCUUAUAAACCAGAUUUAUAUACAUAAAAACCUUGCAUUAAAUGUCGAAACAUUGCCUUAACAAAACUUUCAUCAUUUUAAUCCAUCUAGGCACCACAAACAUGUAUAAUUUUUACAAAAUCAUAACCAAGACAUUAACUACAAUUGUUUACAUGGUUCUUAAAACAAAAGGUUAUAUGCGGAAGCGUAUGCUAGAGUGUUCGGUUCGAGUUGACAAGCUUGAUCUUCAUCCUUCACUUGGGUACCUGAAAGCUAAUGUGUUCAACAAGCAUUAGAGUUUUUAACUAUGAUAGAACACGUAAUUGGAUUAGAUUCGAAAACUUAUUCAAAACAAGAAAUAAGUUUUCUUCAACAAGGCUCCACCGUAAUUUACGGUAUCACCGUAAAUUACGGUGGCUUCUGAAUGUUUGGGGGGUCUACCGUAACACAGUAGGUAUCCACCGUAACAGAGUUGCAGGUCACCGUAAAUUACGGUACCACCGUAAUUUACGGUGGACUCUGCACAUGACUCCUUUGUUUAAAAUGCAGGAUUUUGCUGGUUCAUUAUGUGACGAAACAGCAUACUUUCGCAUAAAUUGUUAAAUGGCUGGGCUAGUUCUUUAUAUCUGUAUUUCGGUUACCACAUUGCUCAUUUAUAACUUAAUUGGGCAUGUAACGGAAAUUAACAAUCACGCUAGAUUACAAGAUUUCUAAUAGACCUUUGUACUAUAAUCAUGCAUUCAAACCAAAACGUAGCGUCUAAAAUAAGAACAAGGUUUAUAAGUUUGUCUUAUAGUAUUCGCUACACGGCCUAUACCUCAUGUAUUAAUUGCACAUUAUAAUAAAGUCAUGCUUCGUGUUUAUUCUCAAAACUUGUUUGACCCGUUUAGGUGCAUAAUGUACGCACCUUACGGACACUAGACAUCAUGUUUGUAUCAUGUUUAGGGCAAUAGCCAAUUUUCAUGACAUAAUGGUAAAUUCUCGGUUAUCAUGCUUUUAUUCCUCUUAACCAACUCAUAAAGCUAUCGAUAUGUAAAAUGUAAUGAAACGGUAAAUUUCAUACCUUUAAAGCGCGCCUUUCCCUCGUGAAUCCCCUCCGGCUUGCCCACUAGAGGAACCGGACUCCUUGCCUAGAAAAUCCAGUUUUUAACAUGUUUAGAAUCAUUUUCAUGACCAUUUUCACACCGAUUUUGGACCAUUAUCAAAUCUGCGUUUUUAUCCAAAUUUUAACAUUUAAGUCCUCACUUAGGCAUUUCAACAAACACCUAGCGGGUCAGGUUUUCCUACAAUCGUUACCAAGUUCGUAGCAUGAAAUUUAACAUCUAAUUUCACUUUAUUUAACAAGUUUUUACAUACAUCUUGACAUCUAUAUUUCUGAAUCAUUUCACAAAUUCAGAUUUUAUUAGAACAAGAGUCAAAUCUCUAGCAUUCACCAAGUUUCCUUCAAGUCCAUUUGUUCCCCACAUGUAAAUCCCCAAACCUUACAAACAUGAUGCAAAGUUUUGACAAGAAAUCACAUAGGGUUUAAUCCUAGACAUCAAAUUACUUCAAGAAUCAUCCAUGCAUUACACAUCUAAGCUAAAUUUCAGUUUUUCAAAGUUAACCUAGAAUUGUGAUGGAUCAAAAUGCCAAGAUUUUACAUACCUCUUUGAUCCUUACAACAAGGGGUUUGCUAAUUCGUGUUUAGAACUUGAUUUGGAACGAGAUUGAGGCUUCAAUUUACAGAUUUUAGUUGUGAAAUCUAGGGUUUUGGAGAACCCCUGUCGCCCCCUGCUCUCUUGAUCGACCAGACUCCCUAAUUUGGGAUGUUUGCUUAAUUUUGUUACUAUUAGUAACUUAUCUUUGAGUUUUGACAAGUUUAGCCCCUUAACUUAUGAUUUUCUCUAGUUUUAAUUAUUUUAACCAUAACAUGCAUUAAAUCAAGACUUGGAAUUUAACUAGGUUAAAUUCCUAGUUGGUAAACUCUUGUUUAUCUAUUCUUUGAACUUUAUAA